UGCUGGGCUUUAACUGACGCUGAGGCACGAAAGCAUGGGUAGCAAACAGGAUUAGAUACCCUGGUAGUCCAUGCCGUAAACGAUGAUUACUAGGUGUGGGUGGUCUGACCCCAUCCGUGCCGGAGUUAACACAAUAAGUAAUCCACCUGGGGAGUACGGCCGCAAGGUUGAAACUCAAAGGAAUUGACGGGGGCCCGCACAAGCAGUGGAGUAUGUGGUUUAAUUCGAAGCAACGCGAAGAACCUUACCAGGUCUUGACAUCCAACUAACGAAGCAGAGAUGCAUUAGGUGUCCUUCGGGGAAAGUUGAGACAGGUGGUGCAUGGUUGUCGUCAGCUCGUGUCGUGAGAUGUUGGGUUAAGUCCCGCAACGAGCGCAACCCUUGUCCUAUGUUGCCAGCGGUUCGGCCGGGAACUCAUGGGAGACUGCCGUGGUCAACACGGAGGAAGGUGGGGAUGACGUCAAAUCAUCAUGCCCCUUAUGUCUUGGGCUUCACGCAUGCUACAAUGGCCGGUACAGAGGGCUGCGAUACCGCGAGGUGGAGCGAAUCCCUUAAAGCCGGUCUCAGUUCGGAUUGCAGGCUGAAACUCGCCUGCAUGAAGCCGGAGUUGCUAGUAAUCGCAAAUCAGAAUGUUGCGGUGAAUACGUUCCCGGGCCUUGUACACAUUACCCGUCACCCCAUGAGGGUUGGCAACACCCGAAGUCCGUGAGGUAACCGUAAGGAGCCAGCGGCCGAAGGUGGGGUUAAUGAUUGGGGUGAAGUCGUAACAAGGUAA
rnacentral:rRNA from 1 species